UACGAAGGGUGCAAACGUUGCUCGGAAUUAUUGGGCGUAAAGCGCACGUAGGCGGCUUGGCAAGUCGGAUGUGAAAUCCCUCGGCUCAACCAAGGAAGUGCAUCCGAAACUGCUGAGCUUGAGUACUUAAGAGGAUCGCGGAAUUCCCGGUGUAGAGGUGAAAUUCGUAGAUAUCAGGAGGAACACCGGUGGCGAAGGCGGGAUCCUGGGCCAGUACUGACGCUGAGGCGCGAAAGCCAGGGGAGCAAACGGG
rnacentral:rRNA from 1 species